rnacentral:rRNA from 1 species
AGAGUUUGAUCAUGGCUCAGAUUGAACGCUGGCGGCAGGCUUAACACAUGCAAGUCGAGCGGGGAUUGGGUGCUUGCACCUAAUCUUAGCGGCGGACGGGUGAGUAAUGCUUAGGAAUCUGCCUAUUAGUGGGGGACAACAUUCCGAAAGGAAUGCUAAUACCGCAUACGUCCUACGGGAGAAAGCAGGGGAUCUUCGGACCUUGCGCUAAAUGAUGAGCCUAAGUCGGAUUAGCUAGUUGGUGGGGUAAAGGCCUACCAAGGCGACGAUCUGUAGCGGGUCUGAGAGGAUGAUCCGCCACACUGGGACUGAGACACGGCCCAGACUCCUACGGGAGGCAGCAGUGGGGAAUAUUGGACAAUGGGGGGAACCCUGAUCCAGCCAUGCCGCGUGUGUGAAGAAGGCCUUUUGGUUGUAAAGCACUUUAAGCGAGGAGGAGGCUACCUGGAUUAAUACUCUAGGAUAGUGGACGUUACUCGCAGAAUAAGCACCGGCUAACUCUGUGCCAGCAGCCGCGGUAAUACAGAGGGUGCGAGCGUUAAUCGGAUUUACUGGGCGUAAAGCGUGCGUAGGCGGCUGAUUAAGUCGGAUGUGAAAUCCCUGAGCUUAACUUAGGAAUUGCAUUCGAUACUGGUCAGCUAGAGUAUGGGAGAGGAUGGUAGAAUUCCAGGUGUAGCGGUGAAAUGCGUAGAGAUCUGGAGGAAUACCGAUGGCGAAGGCAGCCAUCUGGCCU